rnacentral:rRNA from 1 species
UACGAAGGGUGCAAGCGUUACUCGGAAUUACUGGGCGUAAAGCGUGCGUAGGUGGUUUGUUAAGUCUGUUGUGAAAGCCCCGGGCUCAACCUGGGAAUGGCAAUGGAUACUGGCAAGCUAGAGUGCGGUAGAGGGUAGUGGAAUUCCCGGUGUAGCGGUGAAAUGCGUAGAGAUCGGGAGGAACACCUGCGGUGUAGACGGCUUACUGGACCAUGACUGACGCUGAGGCACGAAAGCGUGGGGAGCAAACAGG